CUACGGGAGGCAGCAGUGAGGAAUAUUGCACAAUGGGGGGAACCCUGAUGCAGCAACGCCGCGUGGAGGAUGACGCAUUUCGGUGUGUAAACUCCUUUUAUAUGUCAAGAAAAUGACGGUAGCAUAUGAAUAAGCACCGGCUAACUCCGUGCCAGCAGCCGCGGUAAUACGGAGGGUGCAAGCGUUACUCGGAAUCACUGGGCGUAAAGGACGCGUAGGCGGGUUGGAAGGUCAGGUGUGAAAUCCUACAGCUUAACUGUAGAACUGCACUUGAAACUUCUAAUCUAGAGUAUGGGAGGGGGAGAUGGAAUUAGUGGUGUAGGGGUAAAAUCCGUAGAUAUCACUAGGAAUACCUAAAGCGAAGGCGAUCUCCUGGAACAUUACUGACGCUAAGGCGUGAAAGCGUGGGGAGCAAACAGGAUUAGAUCCCCCGGUAGUC
rnacentral:rRNA from 1 species